CGAAAGCCUGAUCCAGCAAUGCCGCGUGUGUGAAGAAGGCCUUCGGGUUGUAAAGCACUUUUGUUCGGGAAGAAGAUGACGGUACCGGAAGAAUAAGCACCGGCUAACUACGUGCCAGCAGCCGCGGUAAUACGUAGGGUGCAAGCGUUAAUCGGAAUUACUGGGCGUAAAGCGUGCGCAGGCGGUUUUGUAAGACGGAUGUGAAAUCCCCGGGCUUAACCUGGGAACUGCAUUCGUGACUGCAAGGCUAGAGUAUGGCAGAGGGGGGUAGAAUUCCACGUGUAGCAGUGAAAUGCGUAGAGAUGUGGAGGAAUACCGAUGGCGAAGGCAGCCCCCUGGGCCAAUACUGACGCUCAUGCACGAAAGCGUGGGGAGCAGACAGAAUUAGAUACCCUGGUAGUCCACGCCCUAAACGAUGUCAACUAGUUGUUGGGGAUUCUCCUUAGUAACGAAGCUAACGCGUAAUGACCGCCUGGGGAGUACGGUCGCAAGAUUAAAACUCAAAGGAAUUGACGGGGACCCGCACAAGCGGUGGAUGAUGUGGAUUAAUUCGAUGCAACGCGAAAAACCUUACCUACCCUUGACAUGUACGAUCCUGCUGAAAGGUGGGAGCUCGAGAGAGCCGUAACACAGGUGCUGCAUGGCUGUCGUCAGCUCGUGUCGUGAGAUGUUGGGUUAAGUCCCGCAACGAGCGCAACCCUUGUCCUUAGUUGCUAGCAAGAGCACUCUAAGGAGACUGCCGGUGACAAACCGGAGGAAGGUGGGGAUGACGUCAAGUCCUCAUGGCCCUUAUGGGUAGGGCUUCACACGUCAUACAAUGGUCGGUACAGAGGGCUAACCCCAGAAAACCAUCGUAGUCCGGAUCGCAGUCUGCAACUCGACUGCGUGAAGUUGGAAUCGCUAGUAAUCGCGGAUCAGCAUGUCGCGGUGAAUACGUUCCCGGGUCUUGUACACACCGCCCGUCACACCAUGGGAGUGGGUUUUGCCAGAAGUAGGUAGCCUAACCGGAGGGCGCUUACCACGGCAGGAUUCAUGACUGGGGU
rnacentral:rRNA from 1 species